rnacentral:tRNA from 1 species
GGUUAGGUAACAUAAAGGCUAAUGUGUGAGAUUGCAAAUCUUGAGACGGUGGUUCAAUUCCACCCCUAACCU